rnacentral:rRNA from 1 species
UACGUAGGGACCAAGCGUUGUUCGGAUUUACUGGGCGUAAAGGGCGCGUAGGCGGCCAGCACAAGUCGGUUGUGAAAUCUCCGGGCUUAACUCGGAAAGGUCAACCGAUACUGUGCGGCUAGAGUGCGGAAGGGGCAACUGGAAUUCUCGGUGUAGCGGUGAAAUGCGUAGAUAUCUGGAGGAAUACCGGUGGCGAAGGCGGCAUCCUGGACCAUAACUGACGCUGAGGCGCGAAAGCUAGGGGAGCAAACGGG